GACGAACGCUGGCGGCGUGCUUAACACAUGCAAGUCGAACGGAGAGGCCCUGCUUUUGUGGGGUGCUCGAGUGGCGAACGGGCGAGUAACACGUGAGUAACCUGCCCUUGACUUUGGGAUAACUUCAGGAAACUGGGGCUAAUACCGGAUAGGAGCUCCUGCUGCAUGGUGGGGGUUGGAAAGUUUCGGCGGUUGGGGAUGGACUCGCGGCUUAUCAGCUUGUUGGUGGGGUAGUGGCUUACCAAGGCUUUGACGGGUAGCCGGCCUGAGAGGGUGACCGGCCACAUUGGGACUGAGAUACGGCCCAGACUCCUACGGGAGGCAGCAGUGGGGAAUAUUGCACAAUGGGCGGAAGCCUGAUGCAGCAACGCCGCGUGCGGGAUGACGGCCUUCGGGUUGUAAACCGCUUUCGCCUGUGACGAAGCGUGAGUGACGGUAAUGGGUAAAGAAGCACCGGCUAACUACGUG
rnacentral:rRNA from 1 species